AAGCUUAAGCAUAUCAAUAAGCGGAGGAGAAGAAACUUACGAGGAUUCCCCUAGUAACGGCGAGCGAACCGGGACCAGCCCAGCUUGAGAAUCGGGGGCCCGUGCCUCUCGAAUUGUAGUCUGGAGAAGCGUCCUCAGCGACGGACCGGGCCCAAGUCCCCUGGAAAGGGGCGCCGGGGAGGGUGAGAGCCCCGUCCGGCCCGGACCCUGCCGCACCACGAGGCGCUGUCGGCGAGUCGGGUUGUUUGGGAGUGCAGCCCCAAUCGGGCGGUAAAUUCCGUCCAAGGCUAAAUACCGGCGAGAGACCGAUAGCGAACAAGUACCGCGAGGGAAAGAUGAAAAGGACUUUGAAAAGAGAGUCAAAGAGUGCUUGAAAUUGC
rnacentral:rRNA from 1 species